rnacentral:rRNA from 1 species
UACGUAGGGGGCAAGCGUUGUCCGGAUUUACUGGGCGUAAAGAGCGUGUAGGCGGCCACGCAGGUCCGUUGUGAAAACUGAAGGCUCAACCUCCAGACGUCGACGGAAACCGUAUGGCUAGAGUCCGGAAGAGGAGAAUGGAAUUCCUGGUGUAGCGGUGAAAUGCGCAGAUAUCAGGAAGAACACCCGUGGCUAAGGCGGUUCUCUAGUACGGUACUGACGCUGAGACGCGAAAGCGUGGGGAGCGAACAGGA